rnacentral:rRNA from 1 species
UACGUAGGGGGCAAGCGUUGCUCGGAACCACUGGGUUUAAAGGGUGCGUAGGUGGCUUUGUAAGUCAGUGGUGAAAGCCCGGAGCUCAACUCCGGAACUGCCAUUGAUACUGCUUAGCUUGAAUCACGUCGAGGUGGAUGGAAUAAUACAUGUAGCGGUGAAAUGCUUAGAUAUGUAUUAGAACACCGAUUGCGAAGGCAGUUCACUAGGCGUGUAUUGACACUGAGGCACGAAAGCGUGGGGAUCAAACAGG